GCAGCGAGAGAAUCAGGUUUGACGUAGUGUAGGAAGUAGUUUUUAGAUUUGCCCCCUCAGUAAACGUGGGUUCCUUUUAUCAUAAAUGCUGAAAUCAAUUUUCUUCGACGGAGUUAAUUGAUUAGAGAGUAUUUCCUAAAAUGCAGAUUAUCAGGGAAGUGAAAUAUGAAGGUGAAUGAAGAGGAAUCGAUCUCUUACAGCUAACGAUUCAGAUCACCAUAUCAGCCUGAGCAUGAAUGUAGUGACCAGUAACCAAAGGAUGCUUAAACGUCUCUUCACACUGUCACCACCUGGAAAAGAAGAACCACAAACAUCACAUCACUAAACAGCGGCACGGAUGUGGUUGGCAACGUGACAGUGCAGAAGCCACGUUCCAUUGACCUCGGCCACCAUUUCCAACGUCUGAAAUGCUCCUGGGAUCAGGUCAUACACAUCAGUACGGGGAGGGCUCCAAGCUCGGAAUUUGGCCCGAACCCAGAGUAUUCCCCCCAUAUCCAGUUAAGAGAGGAGGGGUGUUGGAGGGAUGCUGGAAAAACUGGUGUGUAACAGAGGUGAAAUAUGGAGUCAAAUGGUGGGAUUUUCAUCUUCCUCUACCUGGGAUGACAGCUUCAGGUUUAGAAGUCGAGGUUCUGACUCCAUGUGCUUGUAUUGAGUAAGGAUGACUAGCUUUAUUCAUGAAUGUGAUCAGCAAAAUCUGGCCAACUUCAGCUCUAAUUACAGGUCCUAUAAUAUAAAACACACAUAUUUUCAGUAAUUCGUUCAUUCAAGUGGGAAAACUAUAUUUAAAAAUAAAGGUGGAAUGAAAUUGUGAUUAGCCACCCAAAAUCUCCAAGUGUUUCUCUUGAGGCUGCCUCAGUUUUCUUGUCCUGAAGGUGGCGUCGGUGUAUUCUCUAUAAACUACUUUCUUAUACCUAGAGCCCAGUCUGUUCUUUCCUGUCCCCACAAACAAACUGCCAGGACUGAGACAAGAAUCUGGUUACCAAAGCCAUCCAAAUGCUGCAACAUCAACAAAACUUUGUAGAACAUGCAUCUACCUUUUCUCCUCAGUCGUGUUGAAGUUCUGCAAUUCCC